rnacentral:rRNA from 1 species
AUUGGACGCUGGCGGCAUGCCUUACACAUGCAAGUCGAACGGCAGCACGGGAGCAAUCCUGGUGGCGAGUGGCGAACGGGUGAGUAAUAUAUCGGAACGUGCCCAGUCGUGGGGGAUAACGUAGCGAAAGCUACGCUAAUACCGCAUACGAUCUAUGGAUGAAAGCGGGGGAUCGCAAGACCUCGCGCGAUUGGAGCGGCCGAUAUCAGAUUAGGUAGUUGGUGAGGUAAAGGCUCACCAAGCCGACGAUCUGUAGCUGGUCUGAGAGGACGACCAGCCACACUGGGACUGAGACACGGCCCAGACUCCUACGGGAGGCAGCAGUGGGGAAUUUUGGACAAUGGGCGCAAGCCUGAUCCAGCAAUGCCGCGUGCAGGAUGAAGGCCUUCGGGUUGUAAACUGCUUUUGUACGGAACGAAACGGUGAGCUCUAAUACAGUUUGCUAAUGACGGUACCGUAAGAAUAAGCACCGGCUAACUACGUGCCAGCCGCCGCGGUAAUAC